rnacentral:rRNA from 1 species
AUUGAACGCUGGCGGCAUGCCUUACACAUGCAAGUCGAACGGUAACGGGCCUUCGGGUGCCGACGAGUGGCGAACGGGUGAGUAAUGUAUCGGAACGUAUCCCGUAGUGGGGGACAACCCAGCGAAAGCUGGGCUAAUACCGCAUAUGCUCUACGGAGGAAAGUGGGGGACCGCAAGGCCUCACGCUAUGGGAGCGGCCGAUGUCCGAUUAGCGAGUUGGUGGGGUAAUGGCUUACCAAGGCGACGAUCGGUAGCUGGUCUGAGAGGAUGAUCAGCCACACUGGGACUGAGACACGGCCCAGACUCCUACGGGGGGCAGCAGUGGGGAAUUUUGGACAAUGGGGGCAACCCUGAUCCAGCCAUGCCGCGUGCGGGAAGAAGGCCUUCGGAUUGUAAACCGCUUUUGUUCGGGAAGAAAAGGCCAAGGCUAAUAUCCUUGGUUCUUGACGGUACCGGGAGAAUAAGCACCGGCUAACUACGUGCCAGCAGCCGCCGUAACAC